AAACAGAUCAAAUACUCCUCUCUCCUAGUAACGCACACACUCUCUCCCUAUUGGAUCUUCAUUUGUUCGUAUUUCUCUCUAUUGGGAUUGCUUGGCCGUAACCAAGGUAGAGCAAGAUCUGGCAUUAUAGAGCUACCUUGUGGUGCUGGAAAGUCUCUAGUUGGUGUCUCUGCAGCUUGCUGAAUAAAAAAAAAAAAGCUUCCUUUGCUUAGCAGCAAAUGCUGUUUCUGUGGAUCAGUGGGCUUUCCAGUUCAGGCUAUGGUCAACCAUCCGAGAAGAUCAAAUUAUUAAUUGUGAAUUGUGAGAUUAGGGAGAAAGUAAUGAGGGUUAGAGAGUGAGAUAUCGUACAAGCUAGCACUAGUAGUGUCAUGAUUAUCUUUCAUUUUUGUCAUGUUGUUGUUGUGUUUUGCCUCAAUGUACAACAAUAUAAGGGUGAAGAACCUUAGUUUGCCAUGAUGCUUGUGGGUUAUUUAAAUUCAUUUUGGUGGUAUACCAACCCUAUUUGGACAGAUUUAAGUCCUUGUUUUUUGUAAGUUACAAUUUAAGUUCCAUUCUUAUUGGCAUGGAGGUCUAUAUGUAAAUGUAAUAGAUACAUGUGAAAGCUCUAAUGUAUGUUAAUGUUAUAUACAUUGCUCGUCAU